CGACCAGUGGUGGCGGCAGCCCCAGGUCCCGGGUCCCUCAGACAAAAAGGCGGGUGGAGGAGGAGUAGCCGAGCCCAGAGUCCUGCUCCGGCGCCGCCGAGCACCGCCCGCCUCAGCCGACCAGCCCCGUCGGCUACUGGGCCUAGCCUAGAGGAGAGGAGGGAAAGGCCGCGGAGGCCGCGAGGAGACGGCUGGGGCGCCAGCGGCCGGCUGCCGCCUAGUUGUGCUGCCCGGACCAAGGAAGGAGAAGUGGGAGGAGCGGGGAGCUCAGCGGCUCAGGACGACGACGCUCGCCACAUCCGGGACCCUCCGGCCGUGGCGGUCGCAGCGCCGGCAGCUCGGGCCUCAGCCCCUGCCUCUGUGGUGACUCCGCCGCGCUUCGACGUCGCCCCUGUCCCCGUCCCGCCCGCCGCCCCCGCCAACCCCGCCGCCGGGGACAUGUCCAACCCCUGAAGCCGGAGGAACGGGCCAGUCAGACUGCGCCCGACAGGUGAUGGGGAGCGGCGGCCGGGCUGGGCAGCCGCCGGGUGGGCGAGCUGGCGCGGGGUACCUGUUGACUUGGGAAGGGCCAGGAUCGCGAUCAAUGGUAUAUUGAAAAGUCUGAUUCAGUUACAAUCAGUGUAUGGAAUCACAAGAAGAUCCAUAAGAAACAAGGUGCUGGAUUUCUCCGUUGUGUUCGUCUUUUUCCAGUGCCAUCAACCACCUCAAAGACACUGGUUAUCAGAGGUUGGAUUUAUGCAAACUUGGGCCAAAGGACAGUUAGAAGACAGUAGCUGAAGAAGCAUCUGUAGGGAAUCCAGAAGGAGCAUUCAUGAAGAUGUUACAAGCCCGGAAGCAGCACAUGAGCACUGAGCUGACUAUUGAGUCGGAGGCGCCCUCAGACAGCAGUGGCAUCAACUUGUCAGGCUUUGGGAGUGAGCAGCUAGACACCAAUGACGAGAGUGAUGUGAUCAGCUUGAAAUUCAGCUAACCGAGCAGCUACGGUCCCUCAUCCCCAACGAGGAUGUGAGAAAGUUCAUGUCUCAUGUUAUCUGGACCUUGAAAAUGGAAUGUUCAGAAACACAUGUGCAAGGGAGCUGUGCCAAGCUCAUGUCGCGAACAGGCCUCCUGAUGAAGCUUCUCAGCGAGCAGCAGGAAGCAAAGGCAUUGAAUGUAGAAUGGGAUACGGACCAACAAAAAACAAAUUAUAUUAAUGAGAACAUGGAACAGAAUGAACAGAAAGAGCAGAAGUCAAGUGAGCUCAUGAAAGAAGUUCCAGGAUAUGACUAUAAGAACAAACUCAUCUUCGCAAUAUCUGUGACUGUCAUACUAAUAAUUUUGAUUAUAAUUUUUUGUUUUAUAGAGGUAAAGACAAUAAUUAAUUCAGGUUUUCAAAAUACAAUCCUGUGUUUGUGUGGAUUCAGAAUCCACAAACUGAAAACCAACGUCACUUUCCCACUUGACAUUCUUCUUCUGUCAUUUAAGGCUGAGGUGUGCUUUGUUCUUUUACUGCAAUGUAUAUUCCAGGAUUGUUAAAGGAUCCUCGCUUCCAGGAGGUCUCUGUGAAAUAAAACCAAGUUAAUCCCACUAGACUAUUUUAAGAAGUUAAGUUGAUAUAAUAGCAAAAUUUCUCCCACCCAAAACUAUGUCAACAAUUGGAUGUACUCACUGAGUCACCCCUUACUCUGCCACUAAUUUAUUUCCUUGUUGCUUAAAUGAUGAGAGACAUAUAAUCUCCACCCUCACGGAGUUGUCAUCACCCUGGAGAGGAAGAAGACAGCCAAAAGAGAGAAGUAUUGUCUUGUAGACUUACUAGAUUCACAUAGUAUCAUCCUUCUCCAGUGUGUAAGGUGUUGUCUAAAUAGGUCCAGUUAAAGAACUACAGGGUAGCCAUUUUUAAAAAAAAAUUUUGGCCACGUUUUCAAAUUCACAGGGGAGGGGGAAUGUCUCAUACUCCAGCCCUCCUGAGCCUAGGCCCUCUGUGAGAUGUGUCACCAUUUCUUGGACACCAUAUGAGACAUUCCCCCUCGGAUUAGAGAUGCUCAACCUGCAUCAACAAAUCUAAAGCCUGCAUCUGGCUACCCUGGGGCGAGUCCUGUUUACAGUGCCUAUUCCUGGAGCUCGCCUCUUUUUGCCUUUUGUUUGAUUAUGUGAUGUAUUACUUUUCCCAGCAGGCCAGUGCUAGCAUACUGGAAGAGGGAUUUAAUAAGCUGGCACCCUUGAUGCUAUGCUCCUAAUCCAACCUUAUUUGCCUCAUUGGCCAUUUCCAUUAUGGUGGCAGCCCUCCAUUCCAGCCACAGCAGCCCCUCAGCGUCCCCCAGUCACACUGUCCCCAUUGCUGCUCAUCUGUGCCUUUGUCCAUCUACAAUGCCCUUAUUUCACUCUGCCUGUGGGAGUCCUGUGAAUCUCUCCAAAGCCAACUCAGUUCAUCUUUCUGCUUGAAACCUUCCCUGAAUAGGCCAGGUGCGGUGGCUCACGCCUGUAAUCCCAGCACUUUGGGAGGCCAAGGCAGGCGGAUCACAAGGUCAGGAGAUCGAGACCAUCCUGGCUAACACAGACCAUUCUCUACUAAAAAUGCAAAAAAUUAGCUGGGUGUGGUGGCGGGCGUGUGUCGUCCCAGCUACUUGUGAGGCUGAAGCAGGAAAAUGGCAUGAACCUGGGAGGUGGAGCAUGCAGCCAGCCAAGAUCGGGCCGCUGCACUCCAGCCUGGGGGACAGAGCGAGACUCUGCCUCAAAAAAAAAAAAAAAAAGAAACUUCCCUGAAUAUUCCAGCCCUCCUGAGCCUAGUCCCUUUGUGAGAUUUGUCCCCAUUUCUUGGACACCAUAUAAGAGACUUCAGAGGCUGAAGUGGGAGGAUUGCUUGAGCCUGGGAGGUCGAGGAUGCAGUGAGCUGUGGUCAUACCACUGCACUCUAGCCUGGGCAACAGAGCGAGACCUUGUCUCAAAAACAGCCACCACCAAAAACUAUCUUGGGAUUUGAAUAGGAUUACCUUAAAUUUGUAGAUUAAUUUGAGAAUUGACAUCUGUACGACAUUCUAGAACAUGGUAUUUCAUGUCAUGUAUUCAUUUCUUGUUAAUGUCUUUCAGAAGAGUUUUAGGGUUUCCAUCAUAUAGAUCUUACACGUCUUUUGUUAGAUAACAGAUCUUUGUAUUUUUGUUCCUAAAUACUUCAGACAUUUGUAUUGCCAUUGUAAAUGGGAUCUUUCUUCCAUUUUCUAGUUAGUUAUUGGUGGUACAUCUGAAAAGCAUUUGAGGUUUGUGUGCUGCUCUCUUGAUUUUGUUUCUAGCCACCGUACUGAAUUCUCAUAUUACUUCCAGUAAAAUCUUAGUUGAUUCUCUUAGGCUUCUUUGGCUAACAUUUAUUAUUUUAUAUGCAAAUAAUUAUAGUUUUGUCUCUUCCUUUUCAAUACUUACACUCUUUCCUUCCUUUCCUUUCUUUUUUUUUUCUUUCUCAGGGCCUUGUUGUCACCCAGACUGGAGAGCAAUGGUGUGAUCUAGCUCACUGUAACCUCAAACUCCUGGGCUUAAGGGAUCCUCCUGCCUCAGCUUCCUGAGUGGCUGGGACUACAGGCAGGCAGUGAAUUUUAAAACUUUUGGUGUAGAGACAAGAUCUUGCUAUGUUGCCCAGGCUGGUUUUCCUGCCACUUUAGAGCAGGUUUCCUUUUUUUCAUACUUUUAAGAGGUUUUUAUUAGGAAUUGUCCAUUGAAUGUUAGCUAAAACAGUCAAUAAAAUGCGUUAAGUACCAGCUACAUGCAAGACCCUAAGUUAGAUACAGUCAGCCCUCUUCAUCAGCAGGUCCACAUCUUCAGAUUCAACUAGAUAAGGCUGAAUAUUUGAAGAAAAAAACAAUAAAAAUACAAUUAGAAAGUACAGUAUAACAACUGUUGCCAUGAUACAAUAUCUAUACAUUUUAUUAGUGAUGACCUAAAGUUCAUGGGACCAGGCACGGUGACUCACACUUGUAAUCCCAACACUUUGGGAGGCCAACCUGGGCAGCAUAGUGAGACCUUGUCUUUAAUAAAAAUAAAAAUAAAAAAAUUAGCUAGUGUGGUGGUAUGCACCUGUAGUCCCAGCUACUCAAGAGGCUGAGGUGGGCAGAUCACUGGAGCCCAGGAGGUUGCGGCUGCUGUGAGCUGUGAUUGUGACACUGCUCUCCAGCCUGAGUGACAGAGGGUGAUCCUGUCUCUAAGUAAGUAAAUAAAUAAAGUAUAUGGGGGGGAUGUGUGUUGGUUAUAUGCAAACACUGCACCAUUAUACGUAAGGGAUUGAGCAUCCACAGAUUCUGGUAUGGUGUGGAGGCGAUAUCCUAGAACCAGUCGUCUGCAAGGUAGCAAGGAUGACUGAACUGUGGAAGAAUCAAAGCACUGUUAAACAGCAUACAAUUCCUGUCUUCAAAAAAGUUAUCUCAUCGGGUAGAUGAGACUUAAAAUGAAUAAAAGGAAUGAAUACACAUUGGAGAUAGUGGUUGUUGUGAUAGAUAACCUUAAUUGUGUUUUCUUCCAAAACGGGUGAAUUCACAUAAAAGGGCAUCAGAAAAAUACAAAGACAACCCAUCAAUAUCAGGAGCCUGAGCAUGAGUUAAAGCAUGUGGAUGGCCUAGAGCCAUGUUUUUAAAAUUGUUAUUAAAUAUUGGUUUUUUACUUAAAUCAAUGAAAACUUUCUUUACUUUGUGGUUGUGUUCCUCAAAAUGAGAAUUUUUAACAAUAAUAAAAAUAAAGCUUAUUAGAUCAUUUUUAAUGGUAAUAAAUUGGUUACUGAAGAUUUGACUAAAGAGAAAACUAGGCCAAUCUAAGUAGAGUCCAAAUGAAGUAGAAAGUCCAU
rnacentral:lncRNA from 1 species